rnacentral:rRNA from 1 species
CCAGACUCCUACGGGAGGCAGCAGUGGGGAAUAUUGCACAAUGGGGGAAACCCUGAUGCAGCGACGCCGCGUGAGCGAUGAAGUAUUUCGGUAUGUAAAGCUCUAUCAGCAGGGAAGAAAAUGACGGUACCUGACUAAGAAGCCCCGGCUAACUACGUGCCAGCAGCCGCGGUAAUACGUAGGGGGCAAGCGUUAUCCGGAUUUACUGGGUGUAAAGGGGGCGCAGACGGCAGCGCAAGCCAGGAGUGAAAGCCCGGGGCCCAACCCCGGGACUGCUCUUGGAACUGAGCAGCUAGAGUGCAGGAGAGGUAAGUGGAAUUCCUAGUGUAGCGGUGAAAUGCGUAGAUAUUAGGAGGAACACCAGUGGCGAAGGCGGCUUACUGGACUGUAACUGACGUUGAGGCUCGAAAGCGUGGGGAGCAAACAGGAUUAGAUACCCCUGUACUA